rnacentral:rRNA from 1 species
CCACAUGCUAUCGGAUGCGCCUACGUGGGAUUAGCUAGUUGGUGAGGUAAUGGCUCACCAAGGCGACGAUCCCUAGCUGGUUUGAGAUGAUGAUCAGCCACACUGGAACUGAGACACGGUCCAGACUCCUACGGGAGGCAGCAGUGGGGAAUAUUGGACAAUGGGCGCAAGCCUGAUCCAGCCAUGCCGCGUGUGUGAAGAAGGCCUUCGGGUUGUAAAGCACUUUCAGUUGGGAGGAAGGGUUGUGUGUUAAUAGUACACAGCCUUGACGUUACCAACAGAAGAAGCACCGGCUAACUCUGUGCCAGCAGCCGCGGUAAUACAGAGGGUGCAAGCGUUAAUCGGAAUUACUGGGCGUAAAGCGCACGUAGGCGGUUUUUUAAGUCAGAUGUGAAAGCCCCGGGCUCAACCUGGGAAUUGCAUUUGAAACUGGAAAACUUGAGUGUGUGAGAGGGGGGUAGAAUUCCAAGUGUAGCGGUGAAAUGCGUAGAGAUUUGGAGGAAUACCAGUGNGCGAAGGCGGCCCCCUGGCACAACACUGACGCUCAGGUGCGAAAGCGUGGGGAGCAAACAGGAUUANAUACCCUGGUAGUCCACGCCGUAAACGAUGUCUACUAGCUGUUCGUGACCUUGUGUCGUGAGUAGCGCAGCUAACGCACUAAGUAGANNCCGCCUGGGGAGUACGNGUCNCAAGAUUAAAACUCAAAUGAAUUGACGGGGGCCCGCACAAGCGGUGGAGCAUGUGGUUUAAUUCGACGCAACGCGAAGAACCUUACCUACUCUUGACAUCCAGAGAAGACUGCAGAGAUGCGGUUGUGCCUUCGGGAACUCUGAGACAGGUGCUGCAUGGCUGUCGUCAGCUCGUGUUGUGAAAUGUUGGGUUAAGUCCCGCAACGAGCGCAACCCUUAUCCUUAGUUGCCAGCACGUAAUGGUGGGAACUCUAGGGAGACUGCCGGUGAUAAACCGGAGGAAGGUGGGGACGACGUCAAGUCAUCAUGGCCCUUACGAGUAGGGCUACACACGUGCUACAAUGGUAUGUACAGAGGGAGGCAAGCUGGCGACAGUGAGCGGAUCUCUUAAAGCAUAUCGUAGUCCGGAUCGCAGUCUGCAACUCGACUGCGUGAAGUCGGAAUCGCUAGUAAUCGCAAAUCAGAAUGUUGCGGUGAA